rnacentral:tRNA from 1 species
GUUUCCGUGGUGUAGCGGUUAUCACGUGUGCUUCACACGCACAAGGUCCCCGGUUCGAUCCCGGGCGGAAACA